rnacentral:lncRNA from 1 species
AGCCGGGAGACUGCACAGUGCCAGUGGUGUAAAAUGUGUUUUCCUUAUCUUCUCCCAGGCGUUCUUGAGAUGGUUUUCCUGGUCCUGUAACCGUCAUUUCUUGCAGAGCUCUGUAGUGGUGAGAUUGGACCCUACGGAUACGACAGUAUUGCAGAACGGUACUUUGAGCCUCUUUCUUCCUCAUUGGUUGUCCAUCAUCUUCACCCCUACACCAGGUGGGACUGGUUUAUUUGCCUGUUCACAAGAGCAGUGA